CAAUAACUUUUUGAACCUACAUCUAUAGAACUUCCAUGCAUUUGCUAAACAUUUGUUUUAAAAAUGCCUCUUUUUAUAGUGAAAUCUGUGUAGUAACAGUACAGACCAGGAAGUUCAGAAAUGAAAAGAUGCAGGUCUAACUUGUUCAACACACUGCAUGAAGGAAACAUAGUGAAAACAUUUCACAAAUAAACAUGACAUCUGUGAAGUUCAUACAUGUACUAGUAGCAGUACAGGCCAUGGUGAUCAGAUAUGAAGAGAUGCAGGUCUACAUUGUUCAACACAGUGUAUGAGUGAAACAGAGUGGAUGGUAAGGAUAGAAAACAUUUCACAAUUUUACAAUGAUCAAGUUGCCUGUGAUGACAGUUCUUGCCAACUGAAGCGGAAUUCAGCAUUAUAGAUGAAAACUUUGAAGUAUCAGUACAGACCAUGAACUUCAGAAAUGAUGAGAUGUGGGUCUGAUUUGUUCAACACAGUGUUUGAGGGAAACAUAGCGGAUGGCAAGAAUAGAUAAAAUUUCACAAUUCUAGUUGUACAAUGAUCAAGUUGCUUGAGAUGACUGUUCUUGUUGUGGCUCUAGUACCAGCUGAAGAGGAAUUUUGUUUUAUAUUUGAAAACUGUGAAGUAUCAGUACAGACCAUGAAGUUCAGAAAUGCGGGUCUAAUUUGUUCAACACAGUGUUCAAGGGAAACAUAAUGGAUGGCAAGGAUAAAUAACAUUUCACAAGUUGGUUAGUGAUGCAGGAACUUGGACCUCUGCCACCAGGAGUUAGAGUUGGAACCAGAGCAUACAUAAGACUUAGAGCAGUAUCCAUCAUUACAAGCCACAGUCCAAUCUAAGACAUAAUUGCCAAACGUUAUGAACAUGUGGUGCUAAAUAAACUGUUGGGAGGUCAUAGUCUCAUAGCUAAACCGAUAACCUAAGAGAGGCACUCUGUCCAUUCUUCCUGCGGCUGGCAAUGAUUGGUCAGUCUUGUUGUUUGGUUUGUUUCCUAACAGAUGUUUAGGCCUGGAGAAUCCCUUACAGUCAGGGAGGGAUAGUGUUGAGCUGUCUGCAGACAUCUUGUUCACCAGGGAGAACUCGUCAACAUUCAUCCAUGUCAUCGGAAGAGAAUACAGUCAGUAUUAAGCCUAUGUUCCAGGGAGUAUGACCCUCUUGGAAAUGUGUUUAUUUAAAAAAAAAUUCACCUUUUCUUUUCAUGGUUGUUUGGAUCAGUAUGUAAUGAAGCACAUAGCUUUAUGAAGAGAGUGACUAUGUAUUAUUUUAUUUACAAUGUAUAGUGAAACUUCUGUAUUAGACAGAAUAAGAAUUUUUCUGAUCUUUGCUGCAUUAUGAUAUUUAAAUGUUAUAAUAUAAAAAAGUUGGUUCUUUUUUCUUCUAUUUUUUCAAAAAAAAAAAUUCUUGCAGAAUUUUAAAGCAUAAACUUUUUAAGUCAGUUUCAGUUUGUAGUAAGUGGAAAAUUGGGUGUAUUAGUUUAAAAAUACACCAUGUACCUUAAAACUAUGAAAUGUUGUUGGGUAUCUGGAAACUCGAAAUACAGUCAGGCUUAAACUUUGUAUAAAAUUCUAUGAAUCAUCUAAAGAAAUAUUACGUGUUGAGAGUUUAACAUAAAUAUUGUGGUGUCACAUAUAAGUAUACUGCAUGUACACUUUAGCAAAUUCUACUGUGUUAUUUUUUUGUAAUUUUAUGAAUGUUUUCUGAUCAAGUAAGGUAUUCACUUACCUUCAGUUUGCCAUUAGAAAGAAGUUGGUAUUGUUCUGCUAGUAAGACACAGAAUAUUAUGCGUGUAAGAUUACACAACUAUAUAUUGCAUUUACUUCCUUUUGUAAAGGCAGUGCAAUAAGGUAAUGUAACACUACUGGUGAGAUCAUUUUAUAAUUGUUUUGUAAUUUGAAAUAAACAAAUAUUUCAGGCUGGUUGGAGCAUAUGUAUCAGGUAGUUACACAGGAUACAGAAGAUCCCUGUAAUAAGCUACUAUACCAUAAAUGUAGAGAUCUCUAACCAGAUCACAGAGUGUGUGUGUGUUAUGCUGUGCUGAGAUAUUGCUUUGACAUAUGGUGGAUUAAGGUCCACAACCAGGUAUUGUAUGAGUUGACAACUGUACAAGACAUCCUUUUGAAGACAGUUCUGAGUGAGCAACAGCCCAAGACACCUUGUUAAUGCUGCCCUGUUAUCUACUGAGUUUCUACAUACAAGUCAAGUAUCCAUCAAAGAUUGGCCAUGGUGUUUACAGAACUGAAAGCCAAGCUGUGAUUUUUGAAAAUGUAUUAUAAAGUUCUAAAUGGAAAUACAAUUUGAAAAGCA